AUUGAACGCUGGCGGCAGGCUUAACACAUGCAAGUCGAGCGGAGAUGAGGUGCUUGCACCUUAUCUUAGCGGCGGACGGGUGAGUAAUGCUUAGGAAUCUGCCUAUUAGUGGGGGACAACAUUCCGAAAGGAAUGCUAAUACCGCAUACGUCCUACGGGAGAAAGCAGGGGAUCUUCGGACCUUGCGCUAAUAGAUGAGCCUAAGUCGGAUUAGCUAGUUGGUGGGGUAAAGGCCUACCAAGGCGACGAUCUGUAGCGGGUCUGAGAGGAUGAUCCGCCACACUGGGACGGAGACACGGCGCAGACUCCUACGGGAGGCAGCAGUGGGGAAUAUUGGACAAUGGGGGGAACCCUGAUCCAGCCAUGCCGCGUGUGUGAAGGAGGCCUUAUGGUUGUAAAGCACUUUAAGCGAGGAGGAGGCUACUGAGACUAAUACUCUUGGAUAGUGGACGUUACUCGCAGAAUAAGCACCGGCUAACUCUGUGCCAGCAGCCGCCGUAACAC
rnacentral:rRNA from 1 species